GGGUCCAUGGCGUAGUUGGUUAUCGCACAAUAGCUUUAUGGUAGCAUUUGAGGUCUCCUGUUCGAACCAGGAUGGAUCCC